rnacentral:lncRNA from 1 species
AGGUUGUAUUGAUUCUUAACAGGCUUGCUCAAUUUAGAAGUCUUUACUUCUCCUCAUGGAAUAAGAGAUACCAUUAAUUGGUAUAUUUUCUUUUUUUUAAACUUAAAUUUAUGUUUGAGAACACAGGUUUGACAAAAGUAGUAGCAUUAUUGGAGAAAGGUGGGAAGUAGUAAGAAUGUUGUAGGAUUUAGAUUUUGUGAUAGAUUUGAGGCGUAGGAGAUGAUUAAUUUUAUAGGUUCUAAAUAUUUAAGAAAUAGAUAAAAAUAUAAAUAUGUAUAUAUAUAUUAUAUUAUGUAGUAUAUAUUAUAUAUUAAAUAUUAUACAAUAAUAUACGUAAUAUACAUAUGUAUGUCUCCAUACGUAUUAAUAUACAUUUGUAUGCAUACAUACAUAUUAUAUAUUGUAUAAUAUAUAAAUAUUUUACAUAUAUUUAAUUAUUGAUUUUAUGGGUUGACCAAUAUACGAUUAAUAUAAAAUUCUAAAUUUUGUUUGGAAUAUAGUAAUUUGUUUGAUUAAAUCUGCUUGGGCACCAUUUUGAAUAUGUAUUGAUAUCUUUUUGUAUAGGCGUAAGAGACUAAUUUUAUAUGUUUUAAAUAUUUAGGAAAUAUAUAUUAUAUUAUAUUAUAUAUGUAAUAUACAUAUGUAUUUAUACAAGUAUAUCUAUAUAUGUUAUAUAUUAUAUUAUAUACGUAAUAUACAUAUGUAUGUAUACAUACAUAUAUUUAAUGAUUGGUUUAACGGGUUGACCAAUAUACGAGUAAUAUAUAAUUCUAAACUUUGUUUGGAAUAUAGUAAUUUGUUUGAUAAGAUCUGCUUGAAUGUGAUACAUCGUUGGUUGUUAUUGAUUAAACUACCAAAAAUCAUGUCUUAGUGAUAUUGUUCUUGAAUGAAUUCUUCCGCGUAUCUAUUUAGUGUUGUUAUAUUGGAUUUAAUAUUCUAUUUUAUUCUAUAUUUUUGUUGGCACCAUUUUGAAUAUGUAUUCAUAUCUUUUUGUACGUUUUUAUAUGGUUGUGCCAAGUGAAAAUUUUGUAAUGAAGUACUAUAAAUGUAAGGCAUAAAGUGGCUUGGAAAGGUUGAGUGAAUUUUUGUAAUGUAUACAACUCACAACUAUGUAAGCAGAAGAUGAGUACAAUAUUGGAGAUUAAGCAUCUUGAAAUUAGAUCAAUAGUGGUAUUUGUAACCAUGAACAAAUUUCAACAUCAAAGGUAAUUAUUGAAAUUAGAAACUGUUGUUUAAUAUGUUUAAAUGAUAUUGUACUAAUGUUAUUUUUAUAACUAACGAGAUUUUUAAAAUAUUUUGCAGGUUAUACUGACUCUUAACAGAUUUGCUCAAUUUAGAAGUCUUUCCUUCUAGUAGAACAAGAGGUAUUAUUUAUUGUUAUAUUUUCUUUUUUAUUCUUAUUUUUAACUUAAAUUUCUGUUUAGAACACAGGUUUGACAGGAGUAACAGAUUGGAGAAAGGUGGGAAGUAGUACGAAUGUUGUAGGAUUUAGAUUUUGUGAUAGAUUUGAGGAGGGAAAGAGAAUAGGUAAGUAGGUAUAAGCAUAAGAG